UACAGAGGGGGCAAGCGUUGUUCGGAAUUACUGGGCGUAAAGGGCGCGUAGGCGGCCUGCUAAGUCGAACGUGAAAUCCCUGGGCUCAACCCAGGAACUGCGUCCGAUACUGGUUGGCUUGAAUCCGGGAGAGGGAUGUGGAAUUCCUGGUGUAGCGGUGAAAUGCGUAGAUAUCAGGAGGAACACCUGCGGUGUAGACGGCUUACGUGGACCAUGACUGACGCUGAGGCACGAAAGCGUGGGGAGCAAACAGG
rnacentral:rRNA from 1 species